GUCGGUGUAGUAUAGUGGUUAGUACUUCUCGUUGUGGCAACACAGGUUUACCCCUGUUUAUCUAUUCCGAGAGGACCCAUGUUCGAUUCAUGGCACCGACA